rnacentral:rRNA from 1 species
UACGAAGGGGGCUAGCGUUGCUCGGAAUCACUGGGCGUAAAGGGAGCGUAGGCGGCGCGGUAAGUCAGAUGUGAAAUCCCGGGGCUCAACCCCCGGAACUGCAUCCGAUACUGCCGUGCUAGAGGAUUGGAGAGGUAGCUGGAAAUUCUUGGUGUAGCAGUGAAAUGCGUGGAUAUCAAGAGGAACACUCGUGGCGAAAGCGAGCUACUGGACAACUCCUGACGCUGAGGCUCGAAGGCCAGGGUAGCGAAAGGG